CCCAGACUCCUACGGGAGGCAGCAGUGGGGAAUAUUGCACAAUGGGGGGAACCCUGAUGCAGCGACGCCGCGUGGGUGAAGGAGUACUUCGGUACGUAAAGCCCUAUCAGCAGGAAAGAAAAUGACGGUACCUGACGAAUAAGCCACGGCUAACUACGUGCCAGCAGCCGCGGUAAUACGGAGGAUGCGAGCGUUAUCCGGAUUUAUUGGGUUUAAAGGGUGCGUAGGCGGAAUGCCAAGUCAGCGGUAAAAGCGCGGGGCUCACCCUCGCUCCGCCGUUGAAACUGGCGUUCUUGAGUGGGCGAGAAGUAUGCGGAAUGCGUGGUGUAGCGGUGAAAUGCAUAGAUAUCACGCAGAACUCCGAUUGCGAAGGCAGCAUACCGGCGCCCAACUGACGCUGAAGCACGAAAGCGUGGGUAUCGAACAGGAUUAGAUACCCGGGUAAGA
rnacentral:rRNA from 1 species